rnacentral:antisense_RNA from 1 species
CGGCGUCACGGGGCGCGCGCUGCUGCGAACGGGGUGACAGGUGGGAACGCCUCCGAGACCGCCAGCGACGACCCCGCUCGGGCAGCCCCGGAUUUCCUCGGCUGCACCGGCGCCGGCAGCGGGGACCGAGGCCCGCGUCCGUUCGGGUCGGGCCGGGGCUUAGCCCCGCGCCCCACGGGCGGCCGGGACCCCACCCGGACCCCGCCGCGGUUCUGGGCCGCCGAAGCCUCGCGCCGCCUCUCGGGGACCUUGUCCCCUGGCCUCCGGCCUCUCGGGCCCCUCGCCUGCCGUCUAGGAGGGAAGGGGCCUUGGACCUGUGCCCCGCCCAUGGAACAGCGCCUGGGCUCGGAGAGGCCCCGCGAGGCCGCAGGCGCAGACCCUCCCGGAGGGCUGGGCGGGCACCGGGGUCUUCGGCUGGCUUGAGGGACACGACCCCUGGGGGAGGAAUUUGGGGUCUGUGUGUCCGAAUGAACGCGGGGGUUCAGAUGAGUCUGUGGUGCCCCCGCUUUCCAUCUCCUCCGGCCCCGGCCCCAGAGGACUGAGAGGCCGGUGGCCGCGGAUCCUGGACGCGCCUCCCUCCUGCCUGUGGUUUCCCUUUAUUCCGGCAGCGGCGCGAGCCCACCGUUCACAUACAGGAGCUACAUCCAGAACCUUCUCCUGGGGCCACAGCGUGGGCUUCCGAGACUCUGCGUGACCCCAGCUCUGCCCCUUUGGGGCUGCGGGUGAAGCCCUCAGGACCCUCUGCGUGCGUUGGGCAGGUGCACACAUUGUCUGUCCAGAGAGGGCCAAGACACCCCAGGCACCCCUUUGCUCCAGGGGCUCAGGACACAGGCUCCCAGCUGAGGCCACGCCUGGACCCAGAGCUGAUGUUUGGCUGCACGCGAGCCCACUCGGGACAGACCCAAGAACACGAAUUCUGUCCCUCUGGAUUUAAGGCUGGUGUUUUUUGACAUUUACUUCAGUUUUUCUCUUUGAAAUUAAAAUUACCUGAGUAAAA